rnacentral:rRNA from 1 species
UGCAUGGUUGUCGUCAGCUCGUGUCGUGAGAUGUUGGGUUAAGUCCCGCAACGAGCGCAACCCUUAAGCUUAGUUGCCAUCAUUAAGUUGGGCACUCUAAGUUGACUGCCGGUGACAAACCGGAGGAAGGUGGGGAUGACGUCAAAUCAUCAUGCCCCUUAUGAUUUGGGCUACACACGUGCUACAAUGGACAAUACAAAGGGCAGCGAAACCGCGAGGUCAAGCAAAUCCCAUAAAGUUGUUCUCAGUUCGGAUUGUAGUCUGCAACUCGACUACAUGAAGCUGGAAUCGCUAGUAAUCGUAGAUCAGCAUGCUACGGUGAAUACGUUCCCGGGUCUUGUACACA